rnacentral:rRNA from 1 species
UACGAACCGUCCAAACGUUAUUCGGAAUCACUGGGCUUAAAGGGUGCGUAGGCUGCGCUGUAAGUUGGGUGUGAAAGCCCUCGGCUUAACCGAGGAAUUGCGCUCAAUACUGCUGUGCUUGAGGGAGAUAGAGGUGAGCGGAACUUAGGGUGGAGCGGUGAAAUGCGUUGAUAUCCUAAGGAACACCUGGGGCGAAAGCGGCUCACUGGAUCUUUUCUGACGCUGAUGCACGAAAGCUAGGGUAG